rnacentral:tmRNA from 1 species
GGGGGUGCCCAGGUUUCGACGGGGAUUGGAAGCGAAGGUGGCAUGCCGGGGACGCCAGUUGGCCUCGUUAAAAAACUGGCAUCAAUACAAACGCCGACACUGACGUUUCGUACGCACUGGCAGCUUAAUUGCUGCCACGUCUUCAGGCCGAGUGCCUGCGUAGGUUUGAAGACGUCAAUUUAGUGGGCUAGCUUUUGUGAAGGUCUGUGGCGCAAAGGCGAAAUCAAAGCAGAAUCGCCGUUCAAGUAUCCUGUCCAUGGGAGCCUUGAUCGGUUAAAUCCAAUACACGGACUACGCAUGUAGAAGCCUUACGUGAAAGAUUUUCGGACGCGGGUUCGAUUCCCGCCACCUCCACCA